UUCAGCUGAGACAUCCUAUGCAUAAUCAGAGAAGAUAGAAGAGAACAGAAUGCCAUGGAAACUGAAGAAGAGAGUUUCUAAAAGAAGGCUUUAAGAGGUCACUUGCAUCCAAUGCUGCAGAAGUGUCAGGAACUGAGGACUGAAAGACGAAGCCACCGCAUUUAGCAAUUUAAAGAUCCUCUUCAAGCCCAUCCCAGCUAUUCCCAGUGUGAGAAUCCGUCUAUCUGCAGACUGCCCCAUCUUCUUCUGGAAUCUGUGCAAGCCCCAUAGGAAUCUCAUGACCCCAAGUGGGGUUUGAAUUUACGGAUUUUACAACAACACGGCUCCUAACCACAUGUCCACAACUUCAUCAAGGCUUCAACUCAAGAAAUAGCAAUCUGUCCCAAGCUGACUAUGUUGAAUUUCUUGAGAGAGGAUAUGUUGGUC
rnacentral:lncRNA from 1 species